rnacentral:rRNA from 1 species
GACGAACGCUGGCGGCGUGCUUAUCACAUACAAGUCGAACGGAAAGGCCCUGCUUUUGUGGGGUGCUCGAGUGGCGAACGGGUGAGUAACACGUGAGUAACCUGCCCUUGACUUUGGGAUAACUUCAGGAAACUGGGGCUAAUACCGGAUAGGAGCUCCUGCUGCAUGGUGGGGGUUGGAAAGUUUCGGCGGUUGGGGAUGGACUCGCGGCUUAUCAGCUUGUUGGUGGGGUAGUGGCUUACCAAGGCUUUGACGGGUAGCCGGCCUGAGAGGGUGACCGGCCACAUUGGGACUGAGAUACGGCCCAGACUCCUACGGGAGGCAGCAGUGGGGAAUAUUGCACAAUGGGCGGAAGCCUGAUGCAGCAACGCCGCGUGCGGGAUGACGGCCUUCGGGUUGUAAACCGCUUUCGCCUGUGACGAAGCGUGAGUGACGGUAAUGGGUAAAGAAGCACCGGCUAACUACGUG